CAUCAAUCCGUUAAUACUAAAUUUAAGAUGCUCAAAAUCUCCCAGGAAUUGCCAACAAUAGAAAAAACUCACUAGUGAAAUUAUAUAGCUAUCUCCAGAUUAUUCAGAGAAUCAACAACACUUUUCUCCAUUAGAAAUCUAAGUCAAAUCUUCUAAUAAUUCUCCUUAUCAAUACAACUUUAUCAGUAGAUCUUAUCAAAAGAGUAAGGCCCAUUACUUCGACAUUUAGUUCUUUUAAUAGGUGAUCUAAUUCAAGCUUCUUUUUUUUUUAUUUUGGUGCCAGAACAUCAUUAAUAUUCAUUUAAUUGAUUAUCACAAGAUCAUAAACUACUGCACUUUAUCCAUUGUAGAACAUUUGAGCCUAAAAUAUUCUUUAACAUUGAAAAUUAUUCUCAGAAUUUACUAAAUGACUUCCAAUCAAAAUAUUAAUCUUGCAUUAUAAUUUGCAAAAAUCUAAUAUUUCACUUUCCAACUAAACAAAGGAGAAACUCUUAAUUCUCAUUCUCAGAUAUAUUUUCUUUUUAUAUAAUAGUUUCAUGCAUAAUUGUCAUACAAAUUUCAUCCUCGAAGAAUAUAAAAUCUUUCCUUGUCCAAGUCUUAAACAACUUAUGAAUGAACCCUAUCUUGCUAUCAAAAUAAUUAACUUCAAACUAGAAGUAUUAUCCACCGUACUCAGUAUCAAGUUAAACUUCCAAAAUUACCUAUAUACUGAUACACAAGUAAUCACAAUGUACUUUAACAUUCCAUGGCUAGUACUCUACUUAAUAUCAAUCAAAAUCUAAUUUAAUCAUAAUCCAAAAAAAUACAAAUUACUCCAUCGAGAAAUCUCCAAAAUAAUUUAUUCUUAUUUUGGCAUGGCUUGCUAGCAUUCUGGUUCAAAACACCAAAAUUCUUAAUAUUCUUAAAUCUUAAACUCUGAUAUCAUACCU
rnacentral:lncRNA from 1 species